rnacentral:rRNA from 1 species
UACAGAGGGUGCAAGCGUUAAUCGGAAUUACUGGGCGUAAAGCGCGCGUAGGUGGUUUGUUAAGUUGAAUGUGAAAUCCCCCGGCUCAACUGGGGAACUGCACGGGAAACAGCCGGGCUUGAGUUCGGGAGAGGGAAGCGGAAUUCCGGGUGUAGCGGUGAAAUGCGUAGAUAUCCGGAGGAACACCGGUGGCGAAGGCGGCUUCCUGGACCGAUACUGACGCUGAGGCGCGAAAGCUAGGGGAGCAAACGGG